UACGGAGGGUGCAAGCGUUAAUCGGAAUUACUGGGCGUAAAGGGCGCGUAGGCGGCUCGUCAAGCCGGAUGUGAAAGCCCCGGGCUCAACCCGGGAACGGCAUUCGGAACUGGCUGGCUAGAGUGCAGGAGAGGAAGGUAGAAUUCCCGGUGUAGCGGUGAAAUGCGUAGAGAUCGGGAGGAAUACCAGUGGCGAAGGCGGCCUUCUGGACUGACACUGACGCUGAGGCGCGAAAGCGUGGGUAGCAAACAGG
rnacentral:misc_RNA from 1 species